ensembl:snRNA U6 U6 spliceosomal RNA
GUGCUCACUUUGGGAGAAACACAUAGUAAAAUUGAAACUAUACAGAGAUUAGCAUGGUGCCUGCACAAGGAUGACAUGCAAAUGUGUGAAGUAUUCCUUAUAUUU